UUGACGCUCGCGGCAGGCCUGACACAUGCAAGUCGAGCGGUAGAGAGAAGCUUGCUUCUCUUGAGAGCGGCGGACGGGUGAGUAAUGCCUAGGAAUCUGCCUGGUAGUGGGGGAUAACGCUCGGAAACGGACGCUAAUACCGCAUACGUCCUACGGGAGAAAGCAGGGGACCUUCGGGCCUUGCGCUAUCAGAUGAGCCUAGGUCGGAUUAGCUAGUUGGUGAGGUAAUGGCUCACCAAGGCGACGAUCCGUAACUGGUCUGAGAGGAUGAUCAGUCACACUGGAACUGAGACACGGUCCAGACUCCUACGGGAGGCAGCAGUGGGGAAUAUUGGACAAUGGGCGAAAGCCUGAUCCAGCCAUGCCGCGUGUGUGAAGAAGGUCUUCGGAUUGUAAAGCACUUUAAGUUGGGAGGAAGGGCAUUAACCUAAUACGUUGGUGUCUUGACGUUACCGACAGAAUAAGCACCGGCUAACUCUGUGCCAGCAGCCGCGGUAAUACAGAGGGUGCAAGCGUUAAUCGGAAUUACUGGCCGUAAAGCGUGCCAG
rnacentral:rRNA from 1 species